rnacentral:rRNA from 1 species
GGACCCGCACAAGCGGUGGAGUAUGUGGUUUAAUUCGAUGCAACACGAAGAACCUUACCAGGGUUUGAAAUCAUUUCAAAACUCCUUGAAAGAGGAGCCUCCUUCGGGAUGAAAUGACAGGUGGUGCAUGGCUGUCGUCAGCUCGUGUUGUGAAAUGUCGAGUUAAGUCUCGUAACGAGCGCAACCCAUGUCUCUUGUUGCUCACUGAGUGCUUAAGAGAGACUGCCGACCAACAUCGGAGGAAGGUGUGGAUGAUGUCAAGUCAGCAUGCCCCUUACAUCCUGGGCUACACACGUACUACAAUGGUAGGGACAAUGAGCUGCGAUCCUGCGAAACCAAGCG